rnacentral:lncRNA from 1 species
GAUUUGAAAAUCAUUAGAGAUACCCCCUAGAUUUUUGUUUGAAGCCGGUCAACCAAGCUAUUGACUAGUGUUUGACUAGACUUUAUGAUUUUUAGACAAAAAUACCCUUUUCCAGUCAAGCUUCUAAAUCCUAGUAACAUGUAGCUCACUAUUAGUUAAAUUAAUCCCCACCAUUCAAAUUAACAUGUCACUAGAUCUAUUUUUAACCAUUC